rnacentral:rRNA from 1 species
AUUGAACGCUGGCGGCAUGCUUUACACAUGCAAGUCGAACGGUAACAGGCCGCAAGGUGCUGACGAGUGGCGAACGGGUGAGUAAUGCAUCGGAACGUGCCCAGUCGUGGGGGAUAACGCAGCGAAAGCUGUGCUAAUACCGCAUACGAUCUAUGGAUGAAAGCGGGGGACCGUAAGGCCUCGCGCGAUUGGAGCGGCCGAUGUCAGAUUAGCUAGUUGGUGGGGUAAAGGCCCACCAAGGCGACGAUCUGUAGCUGGUCUGAGAGGACGACCAGCCACACUGGGACUGAGACACGGCCCAGACUCCUACGGGAGGCAGCAGUGGGGAAUUUUGGACAAUGGGCGCAAGCCUGAUCCAGCAAUGCCGCGUGCAGGAAGAAGGCCUUCGGGUUGUAAACUGCUUUUGUACGGAACGAAACGGUCCUGGUUAAUACCUGGGGCUAAUGACGGUACCGUAAGAAUAAGCACCGGCUAACUACGUGCCAGCAGCCGCCGUAAUAC